UUAUCUCAAGCCACUUGCUAAACUUGACCAGGACAUGUGGCUGAAGGAUUUUGUGCUUGAUUUGUAUCCAGAUACUAAAGGUUGUUCUCCAGCUCUGUGAUUCCAGGAUCUGGUUGUAGCCUCCUUAUGUUAAUUCUCUUCAAUGGUCUAAGUAGUGCAUGUUGUGCUUGGAUGAGAAGAUCGUGCCUAAGACUACUAACUACAAGCUUGAUUUUAAUGGAUUUCUCUCCAAGGGAAGGAAAAGACGCAACAAGUGUCCUUAAAUGUUCCUACAAGAUGCAAAAUUUGACUUGGAUAGCAACCCUUGAUUCUCAGGUGUUAGUAGUAGAGGUGCGACACAGGGACGAUGAGAGGUUUUGGAAGCUUUGAUCUCCACAGGUUCAAACACUAAUCUCAGUUCUCAGAAGCAGCGGUAUUCCUUUUGUUUCGUUCACAUUUCUUUUGUUAUUUAUUUUGUGGUCAUGUUGUGUUUGGUCAUUGAAAAGAAGUCAGAACUUUUAUUUCUGUUAAUUUGGCUUUGCUGAAACUACAUCAUACCAAUAACUAUAUUAGUUUAAUUUUUCUCUUUUAGAAUGUUAACCUGACAUGCCUUAUUACUUGAUUGGUUUAUAU